UCAUGAUUAAAAACAAGCUUUUCAUUGGCUUACUAUAGAAAUGUAAAAGAACACUAAACACCAAAUCCAUAUCGUAAAGUGUUGUUUUAAAGAAGAAAUUUUGGCGGUAAAAAUCCUAAAAUGGGAGCUUAAACCCUUUGACAGAAUUUCAUGAUGUCAGCAUUGGUAUAUAUCUGUGCUCAUUCAUGCACAUCUUUUUCUAAUCCGUUCACAUAUCCAGGCCAGCCACCUUUCCGUGACGCAGAGCCCUGACCCCGGUUUAAUCGCUUUAGCUUCUUCUAUCUGCCGCCAUGUUCAAGAUCAAGUGACAAGCGCUGCCGCGUGCAACUUCUCCCGCAGCGUUUGCAUGCAGGCACGUGCCCGCGUGCGCACGCUGCGGGCUCGUGACGCCUGACUGGAGGCACGCGCGUUUGCUCACGAGCGCUUCCUGCUUUGAUGCUGUGGCCUUGAAAACGAAAAAAAAAAAGAAAGGAAAGAAAAAUGAAACAGCAGCAGUCUAUACUUAACGACCACUGGUUGCUAUGGGGAAUUUCCUAAAUCACACGUCAACAAUUGUUUUUGACAGUUCUGUUUAAAUUUAGCACAUUUUGUGAUGGGUUCACGUGUAUUUAUACAUUACUUUGAACAUUUUCUGAAGUGAAAAAUGUGCUUUAAGGUUUGUAAAAGCCGUGUAGAGGACAUCGUUUCAUUGAUGAUUUGAUGAAGAACAUCUGGUGGAAGAGGCAGAGCCAGAGCAGAGCAAGCUAAAACUUUGUUCUAGAUUUUUCUGUCUUAAUGCUUCAAAUCACAAUAGAGAAUGUGAUUGUAAGUAAAAUGUGGCUUUCUGGAAGUUUCCAAACUAAAGAAGGAGCUGGAAAAAGGCACCAUGCAGCCUAAUUGUUGGGAUUUUGUUGUGCUAGCUGCUAGCUUAAAUCACAAGAAAGCUGCCCUUGCAUGCUCCAAGUAGAAAAGCCUGUCCAAAUGUCAUCCAGCUGAGGUGUGUUUCACAAGAUUCUUCUCAAACCCCUGGGAUCCUAUGGGAGAAGCCUGCUGCUGUGCGUCAGAGGAGAAAGUCACUCCUUCAACACACGGGUGGGCGAUUUCCUGGUAUCAAAUUUCCUGGGGGAACUCUGAGACUGCGAGGAGCCGUGCUUCACAACAGGCCUUGGUUCAGUCACACAGACACAUGGGUGUGCUCUGGGCAGUGGCGGUCUUGUGGGGACGUGGACCUUUAACCAGAGGGCUGCGAGGUCAGGUACCGGGAUCAGCAGGAUUAAACCGGGCCGGGACGGAUGUCCAGCAGUGUUUGCCUCACUUCCCUUCUCAGUGUGGUGCCCUUGAACGAUGCGGCUCCCCUGGAACUGCUCACAGGUCAAAGUACAUUAUUGGUGAAAUUCAUCCGUGAGAAAGUGAAGGCUAUCAACCCUUCCGUCUCCUCAAGCAACCAGGCCUUUCAAGUUGCUGGAGAAAGCAAAGGACUUUGACAACAGGUUCUGGAGGGUAAUUCUCCAUAUCUCCUCCUAUGUCUCCAAUCUCCUUCCCAGGGUGUUAAAAUAUGGAUGAAACUUACCUGACAAGGCGCAGAGUUACAUAAGCCUCCCUCCGUCCUCUCACCUGGAUCCCAGCGGCUUCAUUAUGCUGCGUGAGGAUCAUUUGGCUGUUCACCGAAAGGUGCGGCUGCACAAACUCCACCGGGAAAUAAAACGUCUAGACAAAGAUGUCUCAGCACACAGCACCAACAGAUGGGCCACUUCAUUACUGACUCAUGAGACGGCACACGCCCAGUACCAGCUCAGCCUGGGAGAAUCACACUUUAAGCAACAUGCCAGGAUGAAUCGCAUCUGCCAGCCAAACCUGGAUCCGCCCCCCCUCCCCUCUGAGGCAGGAGAUUAACUUGUGUUUGCUGCAUAACCGCGGAGAGGAAGACGGACAGAAGCAGAGGGGACAGAGAGGACAGCACCUGUGUCAGACUUUCAGCGAGGAAACUCAACCAAGAGAUGCUUUUGUGCGUCACCAUCAAGCGACUGCUGGUUCUUAAGGGCCAAAGCAGUGGCAGAAAGCUAAUUAGGAGCCUGUAGGUGUCUGCAGUGAACGCAUCCCAGGGUUAAAACAAGAUGAGGUGAAAAUGAAAUGGCUUCUGUGCCUGAGUGAGGGGGAAAAAAAGCCAUCAAGCACCGCUAAAUUAAAACCACUCUAUGUAAUUGAAUAAAUGAUCAUCCCAUUAAAAUGCAUCGUUUUGCCGAGAGACUCUGGUUGCCUGCAUUCUGUUAAAGAUGCUGGAUACUCCCUCCAUGCCACUAGACUCGCAACUCUCAAAGUGGUGAGGAAUUAUUUUGACAAAGAUGUCAACAAUCUUCUCUGCCGUCUCAGACAAACCCAACACCAACAGUGACCCAACCCAAGUCUGCUGCUUUCAAUUGUCAAUUCUCAUUAUAGCAUUUCAAGCAGUUUCAUAAUUAAAAGUGAAGAAUAAGGCAUUUUCUAUUACCAUUCUCCAUCUGCAAACUUGGCUAAGCAGUAGUCUCCUCUGCGUGGAGCAUAAGAUCCUUCCACAGGUGGAUGAGCGGCGAUCUCUGCUCUCAUGGUCUCCAUCAGGGUCUCCAGCUGGGCUCCUGGUGGAAACGGACCAAAAAAAUAUUAAAUCCAGAGAUUUUAAGGUUCCUACACGUUUCUCCUGGUUAAAUUUAAGACUUUUUAAGACUCUACAUAUGAAAAAUGAAGACCAAUUUCUCUGCCUAAUUCCCAGCCCUAUGGACGAAAAAGAAUAAACGAAAUUCUUGAAUUUCAGAACAAUUUCUUAUCAGUAAGGAAUAGCGGUUCAAAUUUCAGUAACUGAAUUACAAUUACUAGACUCAUUAUUUUAUUACUCACAUUUCGGUGCAAUGAAACUUUACUUAAAUAAUCUAAAAACUUUUUAGACUAGAAAAGUCACUUGGAAAAAGUUUUAAGCUGUACCAUUUUUAAGACCAAGAUAUCAACAUUCAAGACUUCUUACAUGCUUUUUAAGGCUUUAUUUCCAAAUGUUCAAAUUCAAGGCUUUUAAGGCUUUUUAAGACUCUACAGGAACCUUGGAUUUGAGCUUCUGGAAACUGAAUUUAUGAUUUAACCAAACCAGAACUCAAAUGAUCAUUCUGGACUUGGGCCUUUAAGUCAAUGAGUCACAACUAUGCCGAGUAGUUUAAUAGUCGAUUAAUUGUUUUUUUUAAAUCUCACAACUAUUCUCCAUGCAUCCUAAUACUGCAUUUGCAUUAUCCUUGAAACAAUUGUUUGUGGCAGCCCUAUUCUGAAGAGGAGAAGACUUUUGACGUAGAUCAGAGGUCUACAACCUGCGACUACGCGGCCACAUACGGCUCUUUUAGUCCUCAAUUAAAAAAAA